AUAUAUAUAUGUGCAAAAAUAAACUAUUAUAUAUCCCAUAUGUUUAGGUUUAUCAGGACCCGUCAAGUUGUCCUAUCCGAGGGUAGAUUUAAAAAAAUUCAGAAUAAGAAUUCUGAAGGCUUGAACGAUCCUUUUCACAAACGGAUAGAGAUGAAAUUGCAUGCUUUAUCUGAUAGGUUCUCUCCUUUUAAUUAUUAUUAUUAUCAUUGUGUGUUGAUUAUAUGAGGUGUUAGCUCUUCCUGGACCUCUCAUCAUUUCACCUGUAGCUAAUGAAGCUUUGUGGGAAGCAUCAAUAAAUAAUUGUUGGCAUAUUUGAUAAUUUUAGAUAGUUGCUGAGGCAGAUAUGUUGGUCCUGAGGUCAAAAUAUAUCUUUGCCUGAUCUUUGUAUAGGUGGUAUGACUAUAACUGAACCAUAUGUUCUGUUUUAUCAUAUAUAACUGAAUCACGAGUUUGUUUAUAUUUUAAACCUACAUGAAAGGAAGUGUGCUUGUUGACGAUGGUUAUUGUUGCUGAAUCCAUAUCCUGGUUCAGACUCAUAUUUUGCUAUUCUUAGGUGGCGGGCUUGUACGGCAUUGCGAGCAGGAGGGCCAUGAGGGGUUUGCUGCUCUGCUCCUAGGGCGACCAAGAGGUCCUGCCCCGAGCUCAAGCAUGUCCACGCCGAUCCACUACGACAGGUAGCAUCUCCAUCUCCCUCUCAUCUUCCUCUACUUGCUAUUGCUGCUCCGAAUUAUACAUGUUGGCAAAGAGAUGUCCCUGUUUUCCUCAGUACUAUGCACUGCUAUAUUUAUGUGGUUGUCUUUGUGUGCAUCUUAUUUUGAAACCAAGUGAGACACCCCAUCCCCUACAUCUUGACGAUCCCUCAUGCGUUGCUCUCACUACCUCCUGCCCCUAGAUUUCCAAUUGCAUUUGUUGCCUGCUCAUUUAAUUAAUAAAAACUGCAUGUGUGCGUGUAAGUAUAUCACUUUGCUGUUGUUCAUCUUCAAAAUAUAUGGAUAUACCUAUUCCUACAAUGUUUUGAUUUCCUAGGUAGGUCUGUAUUAGGCAGUGUUUCUUCUAUGAAGAACUGUGCACUAGUGAUAAUAGUGUGAGGUUGUUAUUUACCCUUUACUUUUUUGGUGCUGGUUGGUGUGUGUGCGAUCUUAAGUGCAGAUUGUUUGUCAUUCACUAUUAUUUACUUAUGCGAUCAACAUCAUUUCUAUGUAGAUAUGCAACUCUUGAGUAUAUUGUCCUUAUAUGCCCCUUUCAUACCAUUCCCACUCAAAUCAAAGCUUCUGUUUGCACUUGAUAUUUGCAUUGAGACUUGAGAGAAUUUUUGUAUGCACUGAAGUUUUCUCUAAUAUAGAUUUCUCAAAUCUCUCUCUGAACUUCUCUAAUAAAAAAUGGUGCUAACUGUUAAAGCUCUUUGUGGUGACAUGCUUUUUUUUACCAAUACAAUACUAUAGUAGCACUCAACGACUGUUUGAGUGAUAGGCUGUUCAUACUUUUAGAGAAGUGAAUUGAUUAAGCUAUUGCUUUCCCCAACAACAAAAAAUAAACGCGACAGUUGAACAACGUGUAUCCCUUCACUUGAAAGCCUAUGAAACUUCCUGUAGCAGCAGUGCAACACACUUUAUAUAGAUAUGUAUGAGGUUGGGUAGUUCAACUCUACUUUACCUCCUAACUCAUUCAUAUAUAUGAUGGAAAUUGUGCAGGUUCCAUGGUGCCAAGUGGCCUCUGGCCAUCUUGAACUGGGACUCCAGUAACAAGUAGAUGUUGCUGCCGCACUCAAUAUUUUAAGUUGUUUUCUUUUUCUUUUUUGAGAGAUGUUAAUCACCCAGUUUCCCUGUUAAUAACCUAAGAACACUUGCGUCCUCCCCAACCCUCGCCCCAGCCUGCCGCUGCCAGCAUGGCGCGUGGCUGUCGCCGCAGCAGCUAAUUAGAUUUUUGGGACUCUGUUUCUAUGCUCUGCUCGAUAGCAUUUUGGAUAUUGAUUAGACACGCUUUAUAUAAAACGAUUUAUCUUGUACAUUGCUCUGCCUAACUUGUAUACAUGAAACCAUACUUGUCAAAUAUUGAGUAUCACUGCUGAAUAAUAACGUCUUGUUUUCUGUUCACUGAAUCACAAUUCUUCUCUCUUUUUACCAUCAGUCCAUCUUACAGCCAUCAAUAAGAAAAACAAUUAUCUUCAUAUUAGGCUUAUUAUAUUUUCUUGUCUGUAGUAUUAUAAUGUACAUAUGCUUUUCUGUUCAUUGAAUCACAAUUCUUCACUCUUUUUACCAUCAAUCCAUCUUCUUACAGUUGCAUGUUUUUUUGGCUGUCCAGAUGACCAAGCCCAAGGAGGAAGCAGCUGCUCAUCACUGAGGACAAGUAACUCCAGCAGGUUGAUGCCGUAGAUUCACAAUGUACCUUCUAUAUGCCCAUCCAGUUCUGUGAUUUGUGUCUUGAAACCCAAAAAACCCCAUGCCCAUGUGGGAGCUGAACCAUAGUAUUUUGCUUGUGGAACAUAAUAUCCUUGGCUGAAUUGACUUGAGGUGGUUUCUUCGAAAUUCUUGGAAAUGCUUUGGUAGUCUUUCGGCGAGAAACUAUUUCAUACUGAAGUUUACUGGUACAUGUGUGGUUUGCUACUGUUACUUCGUUUGGGUUGGGUUGGUUCCAGCGGGGAGAUGUGCACGCACGCUGGUAGAAUGAGCUAGCAGCCAUGAUUGUCAGCCAGCCACCACCAUGUAAAUGUAAUAAUUGUGUGGCCUAUCUAGUGUGCUGCUGUUAGAAAUAUAGAUGUGCGUCCUAUCUAGUGUGCUGCUGAUAAUCUAUUUUUACCUCACUUGGUAGGCACCAUAAUCUGUUUUUACCUCACUGUACUGUCGGAAUAAAUGUGUGCCCUAUCUAGUGUGCUGCUGAUAGAAAUAUAGAUGGAAGAUUAGUUGACUAGUUAUGCAAUCUAUAAUCCUUCAUAUGGAAGAUCCGUUGUCUAUGCGUGCUGCUGCUUCAUACACGUUUAAUCAAAUCUAUCAAGUAGCUGUUGUCAUGUUAUGCUUGUUGUAUUAACAUCCAAUUUAGUUGCGUAUUGCCAGUUCAAGUUUUUUUAGUACAUAUCAUGUUCUAUUUUGCUAUUGAACACCUUCCAACUUAUAUGCUGAAUUGCCUUGUACACAUAAUUGUUUGUAAUAUAUGGGAAAGCUGUUAAUAGUCAGCUGACCUCAUGAACUGUAAAAAUAUAUCAAAAUCUUGUGUUGUUAAAGUGAGCUUAUUGUCAAUUCUUGCUUAUAAGCUAUGUUUGAUGCUGUCCACAGGUUCUUAUUCUUCUUUUUUUUUUUGCAUAGAUGAAGUAUGAAGUGUGAAGCCGUGAAGCCUAUCAGCAAGAGUAGCACAUUAUGUAUUGUAAUAUCAGGAGUGUAAUAUUAGUCAGAGUAGCAUAUUAUGUAUUGUAACAUUUAGUGUUGUUUCGGAUGAAUUUCAUUUGCUCUAUAGUCUGUUUGAAAUAUUGAUUGUGUAUAUAUUUUCAAUACCUAUGAAAUGGAAACCUGACGAGGGGGACCAACUUAUGAAAAUUGUUUGACAAAUUUUGAAAUUUUUGAUAUGUGGGUCCAAUUGUG
rnacentral:lncRNA from 1 species